rnacentral:rRNA from 1 species
UACGUAGGUGGCAAGCGUUGUCCGGAUUUACUGGGCGUAAAGAGCGCGCAGGCGGUCGUUCAAGUCGCGUGUGAAAGCCCCCGGCUCAACUGGGGAGGGUCAUUCGAUACUGAUCGACUUGAAGGCAGGAGAGGGAAGCGGAAUUCCCGGUGUAGUGGUGAAAUGCGUAGAUAUCGGGAGGAACACCAGUGGCGAAGGCGGCUUCCUGGCCUGUUCUUGACGCUGAGGCGCGAAAGCUAGGGGAGCAAACGGG